rnacentral:rRNA from 1 species
AAGCAUAUCAAUAAGCGGAGGAAAAGAAACCAACAGGGAUUGCCCCAGUAACGGCGAGUGAAGCGGCAACAGCUCAAAUUUGAAAUCUGGCCCCUAGGGUCCGAGUUGUAAUUUGUAGAGGAUGCUUUUGGUGAGGUGCCGCCCGAGUUCCCUGGAACGGGACGCCGCAGAGGGUGAGAGCCCCGUCUGGCUGGCCACCGAGCCUCUGUAAAGCUCCUUCAACGAGUCGAGUAGUUUGGGAAUGCUGCUCAAAAUGGGAGGUAUAUGUCUUCUAAAGCUAAAUAUUGGCCAGAGACCGAUAGCGCACAAGUAGAGUGAUCGAAAGAUGAAAAGCACCUUGAAAAGAGGGUUAAACAGUACGUGAAAUUGUUGAAAGGGAAGCGCUUGUGACCAGACUUGGGCGCGGCGGAUCAUCCGGGGUUCUCCCCGGUGCACUUCGCCGCGUUCAGGCCAGCAUCAGUUCGGCGCGGGGGAAAAAGGCUUCGGGAACGUGGCUCCUCCGGGAGUGUUAUAGCCCGUUGCAUAAUACCCUGUGCUGGACUGAGGACCGCGCAUCUGCAAGGAUGCUGGCGUAAUGGUCACCAGCGACC